GACGAACGCUGGCGGCGUGCUUAACACAUGCAAGUCGUACGGUAAGGCCCUUUCGGGGGUACACGAGUGGCGAACGGGUGAGUAACACGUGAGUAACCUGCCCACAACUUUGGGAUAACGCUUGGAAACUGGUGCUAAUACUGGAUAUGUGCUCCUGCUGCAUGGUGGGGGUUGGAAAGCUCCGGCGGUUGUGGAUGGACUCGCGGCCUAUCAGCUUGUUGGUGGGGUAGUGGCCUACCAAGGCGGCGACGGGUAGCCGGCCUGAGAGGGUGACCGGCCACAUUGGGACUGAGAUACGGCCCAGACUCCUACGGGAGGCAGCAGUGGGGAAUAUUGCACAAUGGGCGCAAGCCUGAUGCAGCAACGCCGCGUGCGGGAUGACGGCCUUCGGGUUGUAAACCGCUUUCAGCAGGGACGAAGCUUUUUGUGACGGUACCUGCAGAAGAAGCACCGGCUAACUACGUG
rnacentral:rRNA from 1 species